rnacentral:rRNA from 1 species
GACGAACGCUGGCGGCGUGCCUAAUACAUGCAAGUUGAGCGCUGAAGGUUGGUACUUGUACCAACUGGAUGAGCAGCGAACGGGUGAGUAACGCGUGGGGAAUCUGCCUUUGAGCGGGGGACAACAUUUGGAAACGAAUGCUAAUACCGCAUAAAAACUUUAAACACAAGUUUUAAGUUUGAAAGAUGCAAUUGCAUCACUCAAAGAUGAUCCCGCGUUGUAUUAGCUAGUUGGUGAGGUAAAGGCUCACCAAGGCGAUGAUACAUAGCCGACCUGGGAGGGUGAUAGGCCACAUUGGGACUGAGACACGGCCCAAACUCCUACGGGAGGCAGCAGUAGGGAAUCUUCGGCAAUGGACGAAAGUCUGACCGAGCAACGCCGCGUGAGUGAAGAAGGUUUUCGGAUCGUAAAACUCUGUUGGUAGAGAAGAACGUUGGUGAGAGUGGAAAGCUCAUCAAGUGACGGUAACUACCCAGAAAGGGACGGCUAACUGCGUG